rnacentral:misc_RNA from 1 species
GAUGAAGAACGUAGCGAAAUGCGAUAAGUAAUGUGAAUUGCAGAAUUCAGUGAAUCAUCGAAUCUUUGAACGCACAUUGCGCCCGCCAGUAUUCUGGCGGGCAUGCCUGUUCGAGCGUCAUUACAACCCUCAGGCCCCCGGGCCUGGCGUUGGGGAUCGGCGGAGCCCCCCAUGGGCACACGCCGUCCCCCAAAUACAGUGGCGGUCCCGCCGCAGCUUCCAUCGCGUAGUAGCUAACACCUCGCGACUGGAGAGCGGCGCGGCCACGCCGUAAAACACCCAACUCUUCUGAAGUUGACCUCGAAUCAGGUAGGAAUACCCGCUGAACUUAAGCAUAUCAAUAAGCGGAGGA